UUGGAGGACUUUAAUGAAAUUUUAUACCCGUCGGAAAAAGAGGGUGGUAUGGCUAGACCACUUGGUAUGAUGAGAGAAUUCCGUGAAUGCCUAAUGGAUUGUGGGCUGGAUGACCUAGGCUAUGCGGGUGACCUGUUCAAUUGGAGGAGAGGCAAAAUACGUGAACGUCUUGAUCGGGCGUCUAAUAUAGCAUGGGCAAACAAAUUUCCACGAGCGGCAGUGAUCAACGAAGAACAUGUUCAUUCCGACCAUCGCCCAAUCAUACUGGAUACGGAUUACUUGGAUGAAAAAAAUCUUUAA
rnacentral:rRNA from 1 species